UCUGGGAGCGGCCGAUGUCGGAUUAGCUAGUUGGUGGGGUAAAGGCCUACCAAGGCGACGAUCCGUAGCGGGUCUGAGAGGAUGAUCCGCCACACUGGGACUGAGACACGGCCCAGACUCCUACGGGAGGCAGCAGUGGGGAAUUUUGGACAAUGGGCGGAAGCCUGAUCCAGCCAUGCCGCGUGAGUGAAGAAGGCCUUCGGGUUGUAAAGCUCUUUCGGCGGGGAAGAAAAUGC
rnacentral:rRNA from 1 species